AUUGAACGCUGGCGGCAGGCUUAACACAUGCAAGUCGAGCGGGGUGAUGGUGCUUGCACUAUCACUUAGCGGCGGACGGGUGAGUAAUGCUUAGGAAUCUGCCUAUUAGUGGGGGACAACAUCUCGAAAGGGAUGCUAAUACCGCAUACGUCCUACGGGAGAAAGCAGGGGAUCACUUGUGACCUCGCGCUAAGAGAUGAGCCUAAGUCGGAUUAGCGAGUUGGUGGGGUAAAGGCCUACCAAGGCGACGAUCUGUAGCGGGUCUGAGAGGAUGAUCCGCCACACUGGGACUGAGACACGGCCCAGACUCCUACGGGAGGCAGCAGUGGGGAAUAUUGGACAAUGGGGGGAACCCUGAUCCAGCCAUGCCGCGUGUGUGAAGAAGGCCUUAUGGUUGUAAAGCACUUUAAGCGAGGAGAAGGCUCUUUUGGUUAAUACCCAAGAUGAGUGGACGUUACUCGCAGAAUAAGCACCGGCUAACUCUGUGCCAGCCGCCGCCGUAA
rnacentral:rRNA from 1 species